AGUCUUCUCCGAUGGCAAAUUGCUCGAAUCCUACCACAACGAUGAGCUCGGGCCUCGGCGGCGGCGACGGCGACGAGAGGGAGGAGGAACGUGCGAUUGCGUGGAGCGUCUUCGAUAGCAUCAAGGGAUUCCCUUCUUCGUCCCCUGAAUCCCUCAUGGCGGACAUCGACGCCGCCAUCGCCGCCUUCGAGUACGCCCGCGCCACAUCCGCCGCCGUCCGCCUCCCCGUUUCCUCCUCCUCGUCCGAGGGGGAGGCCGAUCGGGAUCGUCCGGCCGAGGCGGCUCCGAUCUACGACAGGCAGGUCGCCGACGAGGCGUACAAGGCCGCAUGCGCCUCCCUUGCCGCUGGGAAGGUCGACGACGCCAUACAGUCUCUCCACGUUGCGCUGUCCAAGUGCCCUCCGGACAAGACCUCCGCCCUCGCUAAACUCCGAUCUCUCUUCGACAUCGCCUCCUCGCAGCAGCAGAAGCAGCGGCGGUAGCCGCCGCAUCGAAGAGUAGUGCCCUUUCUCGAUCAGUUGCUUCUAUUGUUCAAUCAAUAUUCAAUUUCCUCUAAUUCACAUGGUAUAACCCUCACUCGGGGUGGGAAGGGAGGUAAAUCACGGGAGCAGAGCGGAGCUUCGCUACCACAUGACCCAUUGCAAUAACAUCGUAUGCAAGUUGCCAGUCCGAGGGCGAUUCUUCCUCUUCUUGAAACUCCAAUUUGUAUUUUUCAAUGUUUGAAAUAACAUCUGAAGAGAUAAUACCACUUAAUUACUAUCAAACUUGUCCUUAA